GGCCGCGGGAAUUCGAUUCAGGCCUAACACAUGCAAGUCGAGCGGUAGAGAGAAGCUUGCUUCUCUUGAGAGCGGCGGACGGGUGAGUAAUGCCUAGGAAUCUGCCUGGUAGUGGGGGAUAACGUUCGGAAACGGACGCUAAUACCGCAUACGUCCUACGGGAGAAAGCAGGGGACCUUCGGGCCUUGCGCUAUCAGAUGAGCCUAGGUCGGAUUAGCUAGUUGGUGAGGUAAUGGCUCACCAAGGCUACGAUCCGUAACUGGUCUGAGAGGAUGAUCAGUCACACUGGAACUGAGACACGGUCCAGACUCCUACGGGAGGCAGCAGUGGGGAAUAUUGGACAAUGGGCGAAAGCCUGAUCCAGCACAGGCCGCGUGUGUGAAGAAGGUCUUCGGAUUGUAAAGCAAUGAAGUUGGGAGGAAGGGCAUUAACCUAAUACGUUAGUGUUUGACGUACCGACAG
rnacentral:rRNA from 1 species